UUGAGUCGCGAACGGGUGAGUAACGCGUAGGUAACCUGCCUAUUAGCGGGGGAUAACUAUUGGAAACGAUAGCUAAUACCGCAUAAUAUUAAUUAUUGCAUGAUAAUUGAUUGAAAGAUGCAAGCGCAUCACUAGUAGAUGGACCUGCGUUGUAUUAGCUAGUUGGUAAGGUAAGAGCUUACCAAGGCGACGAUACAUACCCGACCUGAGAGGGUGAUCGGCCACACUGGGACUGAGACACGGCCCAGACUCCUACGGGAGGCAGCAGCAGGGAAUCUUCGGCAAUGGACUGAAAGUCUGACCGAGCAACGCCGCGUGAGUGAAGAAGGUUUUCGGAUCGUAAAGCUCCUUUGUAAGUCAAGAACGUGUGUGAGAGUGGAAAGUUCACACAGGAGACGGUAGCUACCAGAA
rnacentral:rRNA from 1 species